AAAAUAAUCCUACCCUUUGUGAAUUUGUUUGUUUGAAUAAUUUUUUUUUUUAAAAAUUAUUGGAGUCUUUCCCUUUAGAGUUUGCUUUUGAGUUUGUAAAAGAAUUCGAAAACAUCUAAAGGGGAUGGUCAAUAAUUUUUUUUAAAAAAGACAUUUUUUAAAAUUGAACUUUUUGUACUCAUUUGUCUAAAAAUUAUUUUUAUAAUAUAAAAACAACUUUUGACAAUGGAUCUCUUGGUUCUCGCAACGAUGAAGAACGCAGCAAAAUGCGAUAAGUAGUGUGAAUUGCAGAAUACGUGAAUCAUCGAAUCUUUGAACGCAUAUUGCACUUUUUUAGUUUACUAAAAAAGUAUGUCUGUUUGAGUAUCAGUAAAAUAUUCUCAUAAAAAUCAUUGUGUAUUUUUAUGGUUAUGAGUGUUUUACAACGAUACAAGUUGUUUCACUUUAAAUUUUUUUUUAAUAUUGAGAUUUUUCUAAUUUUAAUAAUUAAAAUUGGAUAAAAUUUUCCCGUCAAAAGGAAUAACCUAAACAAUUUUAAAUGAUUAAUUUUAGCAAAAUUUUCGAAAAAAGGAAAAUUUUUAUUAAAAUAACUUGAUCUCAAAUCAGAUAAGAGUACCCGCUGAACUUAAGCAUAUCAAUAAGCGGAGGAAAAGAAACUAACAAGGAUUCCCUUAGUAACGGCGAGUGAAGCGGAAGAGCUCAAAUUUGAAAUCUUCAAGGUUUUACCUUGACGAAUUGUAGUUUAAAGAAGUGUUUUCUGCUGAAGUUUUGGUAAAGUUCUUUGGAAUAGGACAUCAUAGAGGGUGAGAAUCCCGUAUUUGACCAUUAUUUCAGCCUUGUGAUACACUUUCAAAGAGUCGGAUUGUUUGGGAAUGCAGUCCAAAAUGGGUGGUAAGUUUCAUCUAAAGCUAAAUAUUGGCGAGAGACCGAUAGCGAACAAGUACCGUGAGGGAAAGAUGAAAAGAACUUUGAAAAGAGAGUUAAACAGUACGUGAAAUUGUCAAAAGGGAAGCGUUUGACACCAGUGUUGUUUUCUCGAAAAUCAAUUAAAAAUGGCUCGAUUUUGUAUUGCUUGAGACCUUAAAAGCUCACUGUACAUUUUUCGUGUCUUUUUUAAUGCACUUUUCGUUUAACAAGUCAACAUCAGUUUCUUUGUUGUAAAAGGGUCAUUGGAAGGUGGCUUUCUUUUCGGAGAAAGUGUUUAUAGCCUUUGGCCUCUGCAAUCGGAGAGACUGAGGUCUGCAGCGUAGACUCUUCGGGGUUAGAUACAUUUGUGCUAAGUUAUAGCUUUUUAUAGACAACUUGUUGACUAUAAUUAGUCUUGUAGCUUACUCGCUUAUGCUAUUUUACCUACGCUUAGGAUG
rnacentral:misc_RNA from 1 species